AGCACGAAGCAUCUUGCCGACGUUGGCUAUUGGGCGGCGACAUCGGCAAAACGUCGAGGCCUUUUUUGCCUUAUAAUCGUCAUGCCAAUUAGGUUGGUUUUAGAUCGGCAAAAUAGCGGCAGAAAAGACGGUUUCCUGCCAUGGUUUGCCGAUGGUUUGCCAACUUAACCCCGACAUCGGCAGUACGACGCUUUGCCGAUCAAUUCCCUGCAGUUCCCUUCCGAUGGUUUGCCAAUGGUUUGCCAACAUAACCCCAACCAUCGGCAACGCGACGUUUUACCGAGCAAUUUCCUAAUGUUUCCUCCCGAUGCUUUGCCAACUUAACACCGACCAUCAUCUGACAAUGUCCCAAACACAGUUUGCCGAUGGUUUGCCAACCUAACCCCGACCAUCGGCAACGCGACGCUUUGCAGAUCAUUUGAAGACCCCAAAACCAAAAGCCAGCGCCUGCUUGCUUGCAACCUGAGCAGCGCGAGCUCUGUUUGAAAUUAUUUCAGUUGUCAAGGGAACAAACAUUUUCCGUUUACUUUACUGGACGUCGCAGCAGUAGUAUUAGCCACCACAAUCGUUUUUAGUUAGGCAUUACCAUUAUUUCUGUUGAAAUGUAGGUUUCAGCAUUACAAGUCAGGCUUGAUUAAACAUUAAAUUAGGUUGCUGAAAUAAAUCUCUUCACCUGUCAUGCUGUCUCGAAUGACCUCCUCAUCGAGUUUCUAAUCGAUAUCCGACCUCACUUUUUCUUACCGUUAGCAAGUUAGCUAACGUGUCAAACGUACCCAGCAACCAGGCAUACUGCUCCCGUAAUCAAGUUUCCUGCUGGAGUCGGGCUGUUGAUUCUUGUCUAGCCCAUGAUGACUGGUUGAAAGGACAUUACAAAAUAGGCUACGUCAAUUCACCACAAGUCAAAAUCAGAUCAACAGACAGGGACAUCAGCCUUCUCUUGGGAAUAUGCCAGAUAUGCCAUAACAAGAAA